GGGAUAGCCCAGGGAAACCUGGAUUAAUACCGGAUGAGACGGGACCCGCGAUGGCGGGACCCGGGAAGGCGCUGCGGCGCCGUCCGGGGGAUGAGUCUGCGUCCCAUUAGCUAGACGGCGGGGUAACGGCCCACCGUGGCGACGAUGGGUAGCCGGCCUGAGAGGGUGGACGGCCACAUUGGAACUGAGACACGGUCCAGACUCCUACGGGAGGCAGCAGCGUAAGAAUCUUCCGCAAUGGGGCGAAAGCCUGACGGAGCGACGCCCGCGUGAACGAAGAAGGCCGUGAGGUUGUAAAGUUCUUUUCGGGAGGGGGAACAACCGUGGCAGGGAAUGGCCGCGGGAUGACGUGAAUCCCGGAAUAAGCCCCGGCUAACUACGUGCCAGCCGCAGC
rnacentral:rRNA from 1 species